rnacentral:rRNA from 1 species
UACCGUGAGGGAAAGGUGAAAAGCACCCCGGAAGGGGAGUGAAAUAGAACCUGAAACCGUGUGCUUACAAGUAGUCAGAGCCCGUUAAUGGGUGAUGGCGUGCCUUUUGUAGAAUGAACCGGCGAGUUACGAUUUGAUGCAAGGUUAAGCAGUAAAUGUGGAGCCGUAGCGAAAGCGAGUCUGAAUAGGGCGUUUAGUAUUUGGUCGUAGACCCGAAACCAGGUGAUCUACCCUUGGUCAGGUUGAAGUUCAGGUAACACUGAAUGGAGGACCGAACCGACUUACGUUGAAAAGUGAGCGGAUGAACUGAGGGUAGCGGAGAAAUUCCAAUCGAACCUGGAGAUAGCUGGUUCUCUCCGAAAUAGCUUUAGGGCUAGCCUCAAGUGAUGAUUAUUGGAGGUAGAGCACUGUUUGGACGAGGGGCCCCUCUCGGGUUACCGAAUUCAGACAAACUCCGAAUGCCAAUUAAUUUAACUUGGGAGUCAGAACAUGGGUGAUAAGGUCCGUGUUCGAAAGGGAAACAGCCCAGACCACCAGCUAAGGUCCCAAAAUAUAUGUUAAGUGGAAAAGGAUGUGGCGUUGCCCAGACAACUAGGAUGUUGGCUUAGAAGCAGCCAUCAUUUAAAGAGUGCGUAAUAGCUCACUAGUCGAGUGACACUGCGCCGAAAAUGUACCGGGGCUAAACAUAUUACCGAAGCUGUGGAUUGUCCUUUGGACAAUGGUAGGAGAGCGUUCUAAGGGCGUUGAAGCAUGAUCGUAAGGACAUGUGGAGCGCUUAGAAGUGAGAAUGCCGGUGUGAGUAGCGAAAGACGGGUGAGAAUCCCGUCCACCGAUUGACUAAGGUUUCCAGAGGAAGGCUCGUCCGCUCUGGGUUAGUCGGGUCCUAAGCUGAGGCCGACAGGCGUAGGCGAUGGAUAACAGGUUGAUAUUCCUGUACCACCUAUAAUCGUUUUAAUCGAUGGGGGGACGCAGUAGGAUAGGCGAAGCGUGCGAUUGGAUUGCACGUCUAAGCAGUAAGGCUGAGUAUUAGGCAAAUCCGGUACUCGUUAAGGCUGA